rnacentral:rRNA from 1 species
UACGUAGGGUGCGAGCGUUGCCCGGAUUUAUUGGGCGUAAAGGGCGCGUAGGCGGUCACGCACGUCCGUUGUGAAAUCGCUCGGCUCAACUGGGCGGGGUCAGCGGAUACGGCGUGGCUGGAGCAAGCUAGGGGGCAAUGGAAUUCCCGGUGUAGUGGUGGAAUGCGCAGAUAUCAGGAGGAACACCAAUUGCGAAGGCAGCUCGCUGGGACGUUACUGACGCUGAGACGCGAAAGCGUGGGGAGCAAACAGG